AAUACAACUCUAUUGAAAUACAAGUGUCAGAAAACGGACAGCAUGGAAUUUUCCUGAGAACUUUGUCAUCAAGAACCGUGUACUUCUUGUUGAUCUCGACCAUCGCCUUGUGAGCAACAUUAUCGACUUCAUCCUCGUAUGUUUCGUAAAGCCGAGGCAGAGAAAUGAGAAGCAGAAAAACUGCAGACGUAGCAAUUACUGUGAGUAUUUAUCAAUAUAAACUAUGAAUGUGUAUUUGGCCAUGAACACAAUCUUUAUGUUACAAAGAAAAAAAAAUUAUCUGAAGUUAUUAGUAAUAUCCCAUAUAAGAUACUGAAAGAACAAGGAGAAAAACUAUGUAAGAAAUAAAACAAAAAUGAGAAAUGCAACUGACCAAUGUAUAU